rnacentral:sRNA from 1 species
UGGAAACCGGAAGCAAGGUCUAAUGUAC